rnacentral:misc_RNA from 1 species
AAAAUUUCCGCGNUGUGGACCUUCGGUUCCAAUCUUAACAAGCAGANUCUUUGUGUCUAUAGCGGAGAGAUGCUUUGNAUGAGCUUGAUCGUUGUGGUACGCUGGUGCAUGAGUUGUGCUGNACCUGUGACUGCUGGUAGAUCCCCCGUUUUGUCGGCCGACUACCGGCGCCUGUGUCCCUUCAUAGUUUGGCAAUCGUGGCUAAGCUAUUUAAGUGUGCUUGCAUGCUUGUACCAGUCUCACUGGAAGUUGCAAUCGAUUAUUGUUGCCUUUGUUGUGCAUGCCCUUAGGGUGUUGCACAUCGACCUGAAAGCAUUCAUGGCGUUGCCUCUUGUUGCUGGCCUAAGCUGGCUUCAUCAAGGCCACCUUGUGUAUGCUUUUGGUCUAGGAUGUGGCUAACUCUAAAGGCUGAUGGUGCUUCAGCACCUUGUGCCUAUAAAUGAGUCCGUUUGGAAACAAAGACAGUUGGCUUCGGUUGAUGCCCCGUGCGGAAGC